rnacentral:tRNA from 1 species
GGGCAUUUAUUAUAGUUAGUCAGAGUGUCCCGACAUAUACAAUGUCGGGAAAGUCGGGGGUUCGACUCCCUCAUCGCCCA